CCUCGGAUUCCUUCGCAAUCCUGCAUUCACAUCGGCCUGCGAAACAAUCCGGAGUU
rnacentral:precursor_RNA from 1 species